rnacentral:rRNA from 1 species
AAGAAAUAACAAUACAGAACCUUACGGUUUUGUAAUUGGAAUGAGUUAAGUAUAAACCCCUUAACAAGUAUCAAUUGGAGGGCAAGUCUGGUGCCAGCAGCCGCGGUAAUUCCAGCUCCAAUAGCGUAUAUUAAAGUUGUUGCAGUUAAAAAGCUCGUAGUUAAUCUUCUGUUAAUUUUUAUAUAUAAUAUCACGAUAUUUAUAUAAUAUUAACAUAAUUCAUAUUACUUUUUAGUAUAUGAAACUUUACUUUGAGAAAAUUAGAGUGCUUAAAGCAGGCUAUUGCCUUGAAUACUCCAGCAUGGAAUAAUAUUAAGGAUUUUUAUUCUUCUUAUUGGUUCUAGAAUAAAAAUGAUGAUUAAUAGGGACAGUUGGGGGCAUUUGUAUUUAACAGUCAGAGGUGAAAUUCUUAGAUUUGUUAAAGACAAACUACUGCGAAAGCAUUUGCCAAGGAUGUUUUCAUUAAUCAAGAACGAAAGUUAGGGGAUCGAAGACGAUCAGAUACCGUCG